AAAUUGAAGAGUUUGAUCAUGGCUCAGAUUGAACGCUGGCGGCAGGCCUAACACAUGCAAGUCGAACGGUAGCACAGAGAGCUUGCUCUCGGGUGACGAGUGGCGGACGGGUGAGUAAUGUCUGGGAAACUGCCUGAUGGAGGGGGAUAACUACUGGAAACGGUG
rnacentral:rRNA from 4 species